rnacentral:tRNA from 1 species
AAGUUUUAGUAGUUUAAUAAAAAUAUUGAUAUUGUAAAUCAGAGAUGUAAAUUUUUUACUUAAAACU